AAAAUGACUCUCGGCAACGGAUAUCUCGGCUCUCGCAUCGAUGAAGAACGUAGCGAAAUGCGAUACUUGGUGUGAAUUGCAGAAUCCCGUGAACCAUCGAGUCUUUGAACGCAAGUUGCGCCCCAAGCCGUUAGGCCGAGGGCACGUCUGCCUGGGUGUCACGC
rnacentral:rRNA from 3 species